rnacentral:lncRNA from 1 species
UCUAUGAAUUUGCCUAUUCUAGAUACUUCUUGUGCCUUUUUCCAUAAUUUUUUCUUAUAACCAGCCCUUCUCAUCCAAAGGCCACAAUGAAGUCGAAGAAACCUAUAGAUGACAGCUUUCACAAUCCUUCUCUUGCCUUUUCCUGUACUGACGUAUGUUAGAGAUCUGGCUGGCAGCUUCAAGACACUUGGAAGCAAGAGGGCCACUCUAUUAAGGAUCGCUGAAGUAUGCCCACAUGUCAGGUUUCUCUCAGAUGUGGUAUCAAAACAUCAUUAUGGGCCGGGCACGGUGGCUUACGCCUGUAAUCCCAGCACUUUGGGAGGCUGAGGCAGGCAUAUGAAGAGGUCAAGAGAUCGAGAUCAUCCCGGCCAACAUGGUGAAACCCCAUCUCUACUAAAAAUACAAACAUUAGCUAGAAAUAACAAGAAAGUUAGAAAGUCUUCUGCCUCCCAUCAGAAAAUGAGCUCAAGUGUUGUAUCCAUUGAAAAUGACAUCUGAUGCUAAUCAUCUCUGAGUGAACCCUACAUCUUACAGUAAAUUGCAUAUUGCAAUAAA